CGGCAACAGCUCAAAUUUGAAAUCUGGCGCAAGCCCGAGUUGUAAUUUGUAGAGGAUGCUUCGGGGCAGCGGUCGGUCUAAGUUUCUUGGAACAGGACGUCGCAGAGGGUGAGAAUCCCGUACG
rnacentral:rRNA from 1 species